AUCGACCUCGCGGCUUGGUACGCCGUCGUCGUCCCUUCCCAUCCUGGCGGUGCAUAAGCCGCCAAGGGUGAGUCUGCUCGCCUAUUAAAGGGGAAUGCGAGAUGGGUUUAGACCGUCGUGAGACAGGUCGGACUCUACCUGCUGGAGGUGCUGGCCGCCUGAGGGGAGCACGUCCUCAGUACGAAAGGAACGGGGCGUGGCGGCCUCUGGUGAACCAGCUGUCCGGUAGGGCAAGCUGGGCAGCUACGCCGCCGGGGAUAAGGGCUGAAGGCAUCUAAGCCCGAAGCCCCUCCCGAAAAUAGGCGGCCAAUCC
rnacentral:rRNA from 1 species